AUUGAACGCUGGCGGCAGGCCUAACACAUGCAAGUCGAACGAGUGGCGGACGGGUGAGUAAUGUCUGGGAAACUGCCCGAUGGAGGGGGAUAACUACUGGAAACUGUAGCUAAUACCGCGUACCAUAGGAUGAGCCCAAGUGGGAUUAGGUAGUUGGUGAGGUAAAGGCUCACCAAGCCGACGAUCUCUAGCUGGUCUGAGAGGAUGACCAGCCACACUGGGACUGAGACACGGCCCAGACUCCUACGGGAGGCAGCAGUGGGGAAUAUUGCGCAAUGGGGGCAACCCUGACGCAGCCAUGCCGCGUGUAUGAAGAAGGCCUUCGGGUUGUAAAGUACUUUCAGUCGGGAGGCGUUACCGACAGAAGAAGCACCGGCUAACUCCGUGCCAGCAGCCGCGGUAAUAC
rnacentral:rRNA from 1 species